CAGAGGUGGCAAGCGUUGUUCGGAAUUACUGGGCGUAAAGGGCGCGUAGGCGGUCUUGCAAGUCCUGUGUGAAAUCCCUCGGCUCAACUGAGGAACUGCACAGGAAACUGCUUGGCUUGAGUUCGGGAGAGGGAAGCGGAAUUCCGGGUGUAGCGGUGAAAUGCGUAGAUAUCCGGAGGAACACCGGUGGCGAAGGCGGCUUCCUGGACCGACACUGACGCUGAGGCGCGAAAGCUAGGGGAGCAAACGGGAUUAGAUACCCCGGUAGUCCUAGCUGUAAACGAUGAGUGCUGGGUGUGGCGGGUAUUAACCCCUGCUGUGCCGAAGCUAACGCAUUAAGCACUCCGCCUGGGGAGUACGGUCGCAAGGCUG
rnacentral:rRNA from 1 species